UCUGCCUUGAAGAUCGGAGUGCUUGCACUCUGUGAAACAAGAUACAGGCUAGCGGCGGACGGGUGAGUAACACGUGGGUAACCUGCCCAAGAGAUCGGGAUAACACCUGGAAACAGAUGCUAAUACCGGAUAACAACAGAUGAUGCCUAUCAACUGUUUAAAAGAUGGUUCUGCUAUCACUCUAGGAUGGACCUGCGGUGCAUUAGCUAGUUGGUAGAGUAACGGCCUACCAAGGCGAUGAUGCAUAGCCGAGUUGAGAGACUGAUCGGCCACAUUGGGACUGAGACACGGCCCAAACUCCUACGGGAGGCAGCAGUAGGGAAUCUUCCACAAUGGACGCAAGUCUGAUGGAGCAACGCCGCGUGAGUGAAGAAGGGUUUCGGCUCGUAAAGCUCUGUUGUUGGUGAAGAAGGAC
rnacentral:rRNA from 1 species